rnacentral:tRNA from 1 species
GGGCGCUUGGUCUAGGGGUAUGAUUUUCGCUUCGCAUCUAACUGAUGAGCUUGUGAAAGGUCGUGGGUUCAAUUCCCACAGCGUCCA